rnacentral:tRNA from 2 species
GCGUCGGUAGCUCAGGGGUAGAGCAGGAGACUCUUAAUCUCUUGGUCGUGGGUUCAAAUCCCACCCGACGCACCA